CCCCUCUCAAACCAAUCCCCAAAAACGUGAGCCAUGAAAAAUGGUUUGUUCCAAAAACAGAUUCAAAAUGUACAAAUACCCUGCAAAUACCAGAAGGAUAUCAUAGAAACACGAGCAACAGGAGAGGAAACAUCAGGAGGUGCAUCUGAGAGGAGCAACGAUGGAGAGGAUAAACAUCUGGAUCCAUGAUGCAUCACUGAUCAGAUGUGAGGAGGAGGUGAAGGAGGGUCUGGAGAGAGAGGAGGAGGUGAAGGAGCCUCUCUCCUCACUCGGCCAAAGGAGAGGGAGGUGGAGGUGGAGGAGGGUCUGGAGAGGGAGGAGGAGGUGGAGGAGGAGGAGGGUCUGGAGAGGGAGGAGGAGGAGAUGGAGGAGGGUCUGGAGAGGGAGGAGGAGGUGGAGGUGGAGGAGGGUCUGGAGAGGGAGGAGGAGGUGGAGGAGGGUCUGGAGAGGGAGGAGGAGGUGGAGGAGGAGGAGGGUCUGGAGAGGGAGGAGGAGGAGGAGGAGGGUCUGGAGAGGGAGGAGGAGGUGGAGGAGGGUCUGGAGAGGGAGGAGCAGGUGGAGGAGUCUCUCCUCGCUCGGCCGCUGGUUGUUCUCCAGCGACACUACAAAGUGCGUUUGAGGCGUUUGAGGCGGCGGCGAUGCGGUCGUGAGUUCUGCACGGUGAGUCCUCGGCCACAGUACCACGGCAACGGCCAACGGGCUUCUUCUGAACCAAACGUGUCCAAAGGUGGUCACAACCCCAUGAUUCAAAGAGGAUUAAACUGGCAUCGUAUGAACAUUAAAGCGCUCAUGUCCCCACCAGUGAACUGCUGAUACUACUACAACGACUACGUACAUUUCUUUAAGUUAUUUUUUCAAACGUUAUACGCUAUAAUUCCUUCCACCUGAGUAUGAACCCCGACCCCGUUGCCAACGGUUACAGCCCUUCUGUGGUGGGCCAGGCGCACUCUGAAACAUCCGGGAUUACUGAACUCUCCGGGAUUACGAACUCUUCGGGUUUACCGAACUCUCCGGGAUUACAGAACUCUCCGGGAUUACCGAACUCUCCGGGAUUACGAACUCUCCGGGAUUACGAACUCUCCGGGAUUACAGAACUCAUUCCGAUAAAUCAACACCCACAACACAGACACGUUUCUUACUAGUUCGUAAACACAAAUAAGGAGUAAAUAGGAGCAUAAAUGAGUUGAGCUGACGGUAUAUAAAGUACAUCACCAGGAACAGAAGGUUAGUAUAGUGAUAGAUUAUGGCUUAUUAUCUCAUCAGGGUGUAGGAACGCCCACAUAUCCAAACCUUUAUACCACCAGAACAAAUAAGGACUUCUAGCAUGCUCCCGUCGUACUCUGGGGUCUGGGGGUCCGGUCCGGUCGGGGGGUCUGGAGUACUGGGGGUCUGGGGGUCCCGGAAAGCAUUCUAUAAGGAUAACGGCAGAUGUGCCCCUGAGCAAGGCACUGAUCCCGGGUACCAGAGUGUGAGAGUGACCAGACCCCGUUAACCCAGGGGAACCCCCCAGACCCCCCCCUCCGGCUGGGUUCAGGACGGGGGCCGAGCGGUCCGACAUGUUGCCAGAAGACCUACGAUGGUGAAACCGACGGCAGCAAGACGCCUCGCUACAGCCCCCCAGCCUCGCUACAGCCCCCCC
ensembl:lncRNA